AUUUUUAAUUAUAUAUAUUUUAGUCGUUUUUAUUUAAAAUGAUUUGAGAGUGCUCAGUUUUUUAUUUAUUCUUGAUAAUUUAAUUUUAUAUUUGUGUAACCUUAGACUGUUUAAAUGCUAUAAUUAACAGUUAACAUUUUUAGAAUUCAAAGAUAAUUAUAGAGAAAUCCUAAAGAAUACCGAUGUAAUAUUUAAAAAGAAUGUUUAAUAUGUUUAAUAUUAUUGUUACUUCUUUAAAUUCCUUGAUCUGAUAAGCUGCUCGUUCAGACAGCUCCAAAUGACAUCAUUAAGCGUGCGACGAGUGGUGAAAGCCAAUGUACGGAUUUAAAAUUCAUGUUGUGUAUCGUGUAGCGGCGACUAAGAGAUUCAAUUAAAUGACUCGACGACUAAUAAGAAAUAGCAUUAACCAACGAAAAUUAGAGCAUCACUCAAAAAUAAGACGAUCUUAGCCGAGAUGGCAAACUAACGUUUCUUCUGAUGUUUCGUAUUUUUUUGUUUUAAAACUUUUACAAACAGUACAUGAUUAAGUUUUUUUUGUGUGUUCGUAAUAUUGUAAAAGUUUAUUUUAAAAGAUGCGGUGAGCUAUAUAAUUCUCACUCGGCUUUUUUAAAUAAAUCUUGUUCCAUAGAAAGGUUAUUUAGUAAAUAUGGCUUGUUUUAUUAUUCAAAGUUACAAUGUAUUAUUGCUGGAAAUAUUAAUCUUGACUGCUGCCGACAUAUGAAUUUUAAUGCGAUCUUCAAUUUUCAUUUAUAUUUACACCGCGCGCAAACUUAAACUUUUUGUGGAAAGAGGAAAAGUUUAACACUUUUGGGAUAGUGAAAGCUGUAGUUGUGGGGCCGAAACGAAAAGUCAUUUUGACAAAGCCGUGAACGGGAGCGACGUGCAGGAGCGCGGGUGGCUGCGCAUCGCGAGGAUUUCCUGUAUGGCAUCGGAGCGCUAUAGUUUCCAACAAUGGCAGUCAUAUUGCUUUGCCCCGCAUUUCCUCCCCUCGUCUCGUGUUCAUUCCUUCCCCACCGCACUCGAAUUCAUUCAACGUUUCCAAUUAAGGGGUUAGUCCACUUUGCGUCGGCAGUGAGGUGUGACUUUGCGCCGCGGAUGCGCGCCGUUCUCGCACGUUCUAGAACUUCAGUCGACCGAAACGCCGAAUCAUUAAAGUUGCGCGAUUACACGCGUUUUGACGCGGGCAAAAGGUUUGCUGCACAAGUCCGAAAAAGUGAGUGACCGUUUUCGUAAAUCACUGCGCAAAGUCACGAAGGCGAUAUAAUCUCGGUGAGUUUGUAUUUGUUUGUUACAUAAGAUUUUGCAACGUCGUAAUUUAAUCGUUUAAGAACGUACAGAAAUUAGAGAAAUGUUAAGCGUAAUACAGAAAGAGAACGAAAAGGAAAAAGUUGAGGAUGCGUUCUUCCGAAGCAUGAAAAAAUAAACCUGGGAUACGGAGAUUUUAGUGAUGCAUUCCACGACAUGCAGUCUACCGAAAUGGAGGGAAAGACUGAAGUUAAAUUGAUUUUGAAAUGUGUUGAAUUCAAAUUGACGCGAGUGUUCGCUAUCAGCUGACCAAAACUUAAGUUCAAUUAUUCGCGAAAUUUGCAGUUCUACUUGCAUUUCCAUUCCGUCGCUUUCGAAGACGGGCGCAUAGUGCUGCCAAGGUGAGGAUCCAGGUUUGCCAAGGAUAAAUUUAACCCUUAUCUUCCGAUAAUAGCAUCUUACCAUCGACAUAAUAUAGAUAGACGGAACAGGAUUUGAAGCGUCUCAGAUCUUUCCAUCUAUAUCUCAUAGCUUUCUAAAUAUAGUCGUAUAUACGUGAUACCCUGUUAGAUGACAUUUAUAUUAUCAGAAAACGUGUAGAAUUUACAUUAAAUUUUUUUUAUCGUAGCAGAAUAUGAUCUUCCUUGAUCCAUCUGAGACAUAUUGUGCGAGAAAUACAUAUUUAAACGGCUAUUAAAUAUAUUUUCUGCUAACGGGUUUUAAACAUAUAUGUUUAUAUAUAUAUAUAUAUAUUUUUUUUUUUAAGUAUUUAUCAAGUUUUAAAUACACACAUGCGUACAUCAGUAUGAGUAAGAGUCGUAAUAUACAGAAAAAUUUAAGCAGUAAAUGAAUCAGUUGAUCACAAUCAAGAACUUAAGAUAUAACGUAAACAGUAGUAGAUCCAAACUUUUGAGUUUCUUAGUGCGUAAGUUUUUUUGGUGUUAUAUGACCCUAUAAAAGUAUUUCCUUUUAUUUCGAGUACUAAUAUCUUUAGAAUAUUAAAAAUACUCAAAUAAUGAUAAAAAUAUGAAAAUCUGAUAAUGAUGUAGCUUAGCGUCCAACUCUUUUCUUUCUUAGAAAUUUGUGUUUUCAAGAAUAAUUUCGGAGUUAUAUUUUUGAAAAAAUUUGUACAUUAAUAUUAUAUUGGUAAUUUUUAAAAUUAUCUUAUUUAUUUGUUCCGAACUUUACACACAUACAAUCAAUCUUUAUUUAUCUUUUAAAAAUUUUUCAAAAGAGACAUUAGAUAAAUUACUCAUACAGACAUACACACACGUAAGCAGCAAGAAAAACAUAUGUGUUUGUACGUGUGUAUAUGUGUUGGCAGGCGGGAGCGUACUGAGAAUAGGAUACCUUCAUAGGUCUUUAACCUUUGCACGUGCGCACAGUGAAGAUACUGGCGGCGAAUGCUGUAGAUUUCCGACGGCGAUUGCCGCAGCCCUUAAGCCACCGUCGUGGACUGAAACUCGUAUAACGCGCGGCGACUCAUAAUCAAAGUUAAAUGGGGCAAAAAUCGUUCCUCGGGAAACACGAUAAAGGCGCCUUGAUUCGCGGUUCGAUACAUACCUACUUGUUUGCCGCGUAAGAGGUAUGAUUUCGAUGACGACGACUUGAGGAGGUCUUUACUAGAUGUUGAAGCGAAGGAUAAAGAGAAGGAGAAAAUAAGGAAGCGAAAGCGAUCAGCAGAGAACUCUUUCUUCUCGAAAGGACAGAGAUUCCUCUGGGGACUCUUGAUCGAAGAAAGUCCGUUGUUCUUUCGAAUCACCCUCGACUCGUUCGAAGACGAUAAUGAAGUCCCUCCAAUUUAUCGUAUCGGAAGCCGCGUGUAUCGGUAGCACGUUGUGUGUAUCAUUAUUUACACGGCCAUUCGCGAUCAAGCAUCCCCUAGGAUCGAGAUCAUAGGGCCGUCUCCGUAGGGAGCGUUAUAACCCUUUCGAGAAAGUUUGUUCUCCGUUAAAAAUUUAUCUAAUCUUUACAUGAGACCAUUCUAGAAGUAUGGUAUCUUAUAUAUAUAUUUUGCCAGAACUUUUUCGUAUAACAAUCUCGUCGAGGGAUUAAUAAUUUUCGGACAACAAAAAAUUGCAAGUAAAGCCCUCUACGUGAAUUAUUUUUUAAGAAUUAAAUUAAUAUUACUUUACAUAACUGAAUUUGUAUUACAUUGAAUUAUUAUAAACAGUUUAUAUGUCACAAUAAGAAAUGAAGCAACAUGUCGAGCAACAUGACAAAACUACAGCUUUCGCGAUACGAAAUUCUUCAUUUUAACGUAUUCAUGCUUCUCUAUUUUGUAACAUAUUGCUUCUGUGUGAUGCAAAACGCAAGUCUACGUGUUGAAACUUACAUCGUGUACUAUAUUUCAAUGUCUCGUUCUGGAUAAGAAACAUGAUGCUCGUCUCGCGACUUAAAAUCUCGCUCGAAAUCGUGUUUCAACAAUCGCCACAUCAAGAAACUGUUUUAUGAGAGGUCGGGUUGCAGUUUUAUAGGAUACAUGUUUUUCGUUCGAAGCGAGAAGUCUCGAAACACAAUUCAUGGUAUCGAUGCAGUUUGCGUAUAUGUUACACCACAUCAAAAUGGUAUAGUCAUUAUUAAACUUACAAAAUAUUCUUUACAAAAUAUCAGUUCCCAGAUGAUAGCAUCAAUAAUCCAAAUGAUUAAAUAUUAAAUCAGCAUCUAAAGAGAAAUUGCAAACAAUAAUUCCACGCGAUUACUAUACACUAACUAUAAAUAAUAAGUAAUUACGUCUAAAUAUUUGAUGUUCGUGCGAGUGCUUUUUCAAUGCACAUCGCAUGAUGCGCAUUACAUAUUUCAUUCCAAAGAUUAAAACCGACAUAAUUUACUGAUAUUGGAUUUCGAUAGUGCAGCCACACGAA